rnacentral:rRNA from 1 species
UGGGGGAUAUUGCACAAUGGGCGAAAGCCUGAUGCAGCGACGCCGCGUGGGGGAUGAAGGCUUUCGGGUUGUAAACCUCUUUCGCUAUCGAACAAGGCCCGCUUAGGGUGGGUUGAGGGUAGGUGGAGAAGAAGCGCCGGCUAACUACGUGCCAGCAGCCGCGGUAAUACGUAGGGCGCGAGCGUUGUCCGGAAUUAUUGGGCGUAAAGGGCUUGUAGGCGGCUUGUUGCGCCUGCUGUGAAAACGCGGGGCUUAACUUCGCGCGUGCAGUGGGUACGGGCAGGCUUGAGUGUGGUAGGGGUGACUGGAAUUCCAGGUGUAGCGGUGGAAUGCGCAGAUAACUGGAGGAACACCGAUGGCGAAGGCAGGUCACUGGGCCAUUACUGACGCUGAGGAGCGAAAGCAUGGGUAGCGAACAGG